CUGUGCAAAGGUAGCAUAAUCAUUAGUUUUUUAAUUGAAGGCUUGUAUGAAGGGUCUGACAAAGAAAAAGCUGUCUUUAAUUUUAUUUUUGAAAUUGACUUUUAAGUGAAAAGGCUUAAAUAUAUUUAAGGGACGAUAAGACCCUAUAAAUCUUUAUAUUAAAUUAUUAUCUUGGAUUUUAAUAAUUGUCUAGAUUUAACAAGUAAAAUAAUAAAUAUUUUGUUGGGGUGACGAGAAUAUAAAAAUAACUGUUCUUCUAAAAAACAAAGUUGUUUGUAUAAAAAAUUUAUAGAUCCUUUUUAAAGAUUAAAAGUUUAAGUUACUUUAGGGAUAACAGCGUUAUUUUUUUUGAGAGUUCUUAUCGAAAAAAAAGUUUGCGACCUCGAUGUUGAAUUAAAAUUUCUUUAUGGUGUAGAAGUUAUAGAAGAGAGUCUGUUCGACUUUUGAAAUUUU
rnacentral:rRNA from 1 species